AUGUGGAAGCCAAGGGCAAGCUGGUUCAGGCCGCCGGCAAGCGUAAGGCAACGCCGCAGGAGGCCUGCAAGCUGAUCGGUAAUUUUGUGCAGGCUGACGCGAAGAUGAUCAAGUUUGUCGACGCCAACGCGCAGAAAUGCGGCAUUCCCGCCGAGGUCGGCGAGCAGAUGAAGAAGGGGCAUGCCAAUUACACCCAGCUGCAGCAGCGCGUUUGUUCAGCAGCGCAGCAGCA
rnacentral:misc_RNA from 1 species